ensembl:Mt_tRNA
UAGGGCUUGGUGUAGUUGGUAACACGAAGAAUUUUGGAUUCUUAGAUUUGGGUUCGAAUCCUAUGGCUCUAG